AUUUUGAAAAUUUCAAUUACCAACUAUUCCUCUUAUUCCCAAAAACCAUCCAAAUAUAAUUUUUCUAGUUCUAGCUUACACUCACAUUUCCAUCCAAACAAAAACUAUUAUUUUUACAAAAAUCCAUACUUGUAUCUAUCCCUGUAAUAACUAAUUCCUACUAAUACCCCAACCAAACGAAGCCUAGUAGUGUAUUACGCAAAUAAAUUUCAAACGUAGGAUCUCUCAGAUAUCAACUAUCACGUCUUUUAGUUUGGCACUAGAAAUAUUUAGUUGCACCAAUAACAUUUUUAUUACCAAACCUUUCACAACAAAUUAAUAAUUUAUAACAAUUAUAUUAUAUAAGAAAUAUUUUAAACUAAUUAUAAUGUAAUAUAUA
rnacentral:lncRNA from 1 species